AUUGAACGCUGGCGGCAUGCUUUACACAUGCAAGUCGGACGAGUGGCGAACGGGUGAGUAACGCAUCGGAACGUACCGAGUCAUGGGGGAUAACUGUCCGAAAGGACAGCUAAUACCGCAUACUAUUCGAUCGGCCGAUGUCUGAUUAGCUGGUGGGCGGGGAAAAGGCCCACCAAGGCGACGUUCAGUAGCGGGUCUGAGAGGAUGAUCAGCAACACGGGGACUGAGAAACGGCCCAGACUCCUACGGGAGGCAGCGGUGGGGAAUUUUGGACAAGGGGCGAAGGCCUGAUCCAGCCAUGCCGCGUGUCUGAAGAAGGCCUUCGGGUUGGAAAGGCCUUUUGUCAGGGAAGCGGUACCUGAAGAAUAAGCACCGGCUAACUACGGGCCAGCAGCCGCGGUAUAC
rnacentral:rRNA from 1 species